rnacentral:rRNA from 1 species
GAUGAACGCUGGCGGCGUGCCUAAUACAUGCAAGUCGAGCGAACGGACGAGAAGCUUGCUUUUCUGAUGUUAGCGGCGGACGGGUGAGUAACACGUGGAUAACCUACCUAUAAGACUGGGAUAACUUCGGGAAACCGGAGCUAAUACCGGAUAAUAUUUUGAACCGCAUGGUUCAAAAGUGAAAGACGGUCUUGCUGUCACUUAUAGAUGGAUCCGCGCUGCAUUAGCUAGUUGGUAAGGUAACGGCUUACCAAGGCAACGAUGCAUAGCCGACCAGAGAGGGUGCUCGGCGAAACUGGAACUGAGACACGAUCCAGACUCCUACGAGAGGCACCAGUAGGGAAUCUUCAGGGAAGGGAGAAGGCGUGAAGGAGCAACGCCGCGUGAGUGAUGGAGGCCUUCGGAUCGCAAAACUCUGUUAUGAGGGAAGAAUAUAUGUGUAAGUAACUGUGCACAACUUGAAGGUAACUAAUCAGAAAGGCACGGCUAAACACGUG